rfam:Paludibacter jiangxiensis DNA, scaffold: PJIAN_4, strain: NM7.
AAAAUAGUGGAUAGAUUUGAUUGCUUGCAACCACGGAAAAAAAUGCUAAAACGUGAUUC